rnacentral:tRNA from 1 species
GGUUCCAUGGUGUAUUGGUUAGCAUGCUGGACUUUGAAUCCAGUGAUCCGAGUUCAAAUCUCGGGGGAACCU